UACGUAGGGUGCAGGCGUUAAUCGGAAUUACUGGGCGUAAAGCGUGCGCAGGCGGUUUUGUAAGCCAGAUGUGAAAUCCCCGGGCUUAACCUGGGAAUGGCAUUUGGGACUGCAAGGCUCGAGUGCGGCAGAGGAGACUGGAAUUCCUGGUGUAGCAGUGAAAUGCGUAGAUAUCAGGAGGAACACCGAUGGCGAAGGCAGGUCUCUGGGCUGACACUGACGCUCAUGCACGAAAGCGUGGGGAGCAAACGGG
rnacentral:rRNA from 1 species